AGUGAACGCUGGCGGUAGGCCUAACACAUGCAAGUCGAACGGCAGCACAGUAAGAGCUUGCUCUUACGGGUGGCGAGUGGCGGACGGGUGAGGAAUACAUCGGAAUCUACUUUUUCGUGGGGGAUAACGUAGGGAAACUUACGCUAAUACCGCAUACGACCUACGGGUGAAAGCAGGGGAUCUUCGGACCUUGCGCGAUUGAAUGAGCCGAUGUCGGAUUAGCUAGUUGGCGGGGUAAAGGCCCACCAAGGCGACGAUCCGGAGCUGGUCUGAGAGGAUGAUCGGCCACACUGGAGCGGAGCGACGGCCACUACUCCGCCGGGAGGCAGCAGUGGGGAUUAUGGGACAAGGGGCGCAAGCCUUACACACCAAUGCGGCGUGGGAGAAGAAGCCCUUCGGGUUGCAAGACCUUUUUUUUGGGAAGAAAAAGCACCAGCUUAAUCCCCCGCUGUUGUGACGGUACCAAAAGAAAAAGCCCCGGCUAACUUCGUG
rnacentral:rRNA from 1 species